rnacentral:lncRNA from 1 species
GUAUCCGUUAGUACUCAACUCAAACUUCUCUUUGUUUCUUCUCUUCUCUUCUAAAAUGUUGGAAAUUGGAACUAACUCGCAGUCGCUCCCGCUUGCAUUAUGAAAACUGUCAUUAAAACCUACUCCAGCAAGAAACCUGUGCAACCAAUUGAAUUGAAAGACGAUCCUUUUGAUGUAUUGCGGGAUGCACCUAAGCCUAGCCCUUCCUCGCCAGUCUCUGUUUUGACGCCCUGUUGGCUACCUCCAAGUCGAGCCCUUCACCUUCAGAUAAUUCAAACAAAGAUGAUUCUCUAUUGGCUUUACCGGAUGAGUCACUAUGUCAGAGAUUCCUGCAAGAGCUCAGCUUUUCUUCAGCUGGAUCACUUGAGCGUUACAACUCGGAAAUAGAGCGUACAAAAAGUAGUGGUGAUGCAUACAAACUCACAACUUCGAGUGAUGAUCCUGGCUCUCAAAAUGCUAAGAAGAAAAAAAAGAAGAAAAAGAAAAAAUCAAACCAAAAAUCAAGUGACCAGGAAAAAGGAACCUCCUACCUCAAAAGUGAAAAUGAGUUCUUCUCAACAUCAGUUGAAUCAAAUACCGUACUUUCCUCAAGAGAAGAAGACAAAGAAAAUUACAAUUUAUGCUCAACUAAAAGAGGCAAGAAAAAGAGACGGACAAAAAAAAAUGCGAAUGAGAAAUGUGAAAAUGAGGCAAAAGCUUCAUCUGAUGAGCGCUGCGAAAUUCCUAUAGUGGUCAAACCCCCUACCCCCUCAGUAAAUGUUCCAACUAAGAGAUUACGUCAGCCUACAUCAGAUAAAAAUCUUCUGCAGCCUAGCGCAGCUUUGAAAACAGCAAAACGUCCUUCAAAGAAAUCUUCAACCGGGAAAGUUCUAGAUUUAUCAAGUUCUGAAAAUGAGUUAAAUACAUCAACCUGCACCAGUUUGAAAGAUACCUCUAAACUAAAUGAAAGUCAGGCCUGUCAACGGAACGACUUAUUUUUCAAGAACGUUACAACAAGGAGACGUGGCAGGAAGAAAUCAAUUAAGGAUUGUAACCUGGUGAAACACGUUCUAUCAAAAUCUCUAAGGACAAGCAUGCAGAGCUCCUCCAUCAGUGAAAAUGUCUCAGUCACCUCACUUGCUGAUUCGCCAAAUAGCUCAAAAACUCACAGCACCAAAUCUCCAUCGAGCCACCAGACCGAAUCGCCCUCCUCUGUUCUAUCGCUAUCCACUGAUUCAAUGUCUGAUAUUUCCUCUCCGCAAAAAUGCUUGUCAAGUAAGAGGAAGAAGUCUUCAAUCCCAGCUAUGAGCACUCCUAAUGCAUCGGUCAGCUCUACCUCUUUUAGUGAAAUAGGAGCAUCCCCUUCAUCAUAUUCUCCUGACUUGAAAACCGGAGAGUCGUCUUCCAUAAGUGGUCUGUCCGAUGUUUCAAUCAGUUCAGUAAGUGGCAAAUCUUCGCAGGAUACCAGCAACGCCCUGAGUCACAUCGAAACAUCUUUACGAAACAUUUCUCUAUCUAGUAGCUCCAGUUGUUCCUCACCCUUAUCUUCAACCCUGACUUACAAUCCCAGUCUUCACAAUCGUCAACUCACAGCCGUAGGAGUAAAAUUCCAACUAUACAAAAGGAAAGUGACACCUUAGAUUCAAUUAUAUCUACUCAAAAGUCAGAGCAAUCCUGUGAUAUAACUGAAAACUCAGUUUUGGGAAAAAGCGAAACGGAACAAACUUGUCAUACCUCAACCAUCCGCAAUUCAGAAACAUCAAUUGCUCCAAAAAGUGAAGAUAAUGAUGGU